GACGUAGGAGGCGAGCGUUGUCCGGAUUCAUUGGGCGUAAAGAGCGCGUAGGCGGCUUGGUAAGUCGGAUGUGAAAUCCCGAGGCUCAACCUCGGGUCUGCAUCCGAUACUGCCCGGCUAGAGGUAGGUAGGGGAGAUCGGAAUUCCUGGUGUAGCGGUGAAAUGCGCAGAUAUCCGGAAGAACACCGGUGGCGAAGGCGGUCUGCUGGGCAGUAGCUGACACUGAGGCGCGACAGCGUGGGGAGCAAACAGG
rnacentral:rRNA from 1 species